GUUUUCAGGAGCACAAGCGUAAAGGAGAAAUCCGCGGUGAAUACGAAAGCAUAAAUUCUGAAAAUAGCUUUUUACUUCAUGAAAACGCGCCCAUGAAACAACUACCUGUCGCAGUCGCGCGCAAUUCGUAAGAUGGCGCUGUCAUAGUUUGAUCCUCCAACCAAUGCACUGGAAUCCACUACAAGCUCAAACCUACUCUCUGGUUUUUCGUUCACACUUAAAUCUGAUGUAUAGCGCCAGUGCUUGCUCUAACUUUUUUUUGGAAUACUCUGCCUAGAAAAUAUAUUAAAUUAAAGGCAAGAUGAAAGAGAAGAAAAAAUAAAUGAUUAAAUUGACUUUGCUUUCUUUUCUUUUUUUAACUUUGCGCAUAGGUUGAUGGGAAAGAACUUAUUGAAAGAGUGCUAGAUCAUUCAACAGAAUUUCUUCAAGGAACCUCCAAGUUUCCAUUUUCGACACAUUUGUUUCAGAAGCUUUCUUCAAACUUUAUCUUUAAGGAAAUAUCCAAACAUUAGAGACAUUUCAGUAAAGAAAAAAGUGCACAUACAAGUACUACACUAAAAUUGAGUGUUGAAGACUUUUCGAACAUUGAAU